GUGCCCUCUUCAGCAGCACGUAUGCUAAAAUUGGAAUGAUACAGAGAUUAGCAUGGCCCUGGUGCAAGGAUGACACGCACAUUCGUGAAGCGUUCCACAUUUUU